rnacentral:hammerhead_ribozyme from 1 species
AUCCAGAUGACUAGUCCUAUAUAGGACGAAAUGCGCAUCCUGGCUGGAU